CCCUUUUUUAUUAAAAAAAAAAAAAACCUUCAUUAUACAACCCAAACCAGUGCAAUGCUCAAAAAGAGUGGGGAAAAAGAAAAAUCGGCCACAGACAGAAAAAGAGAAGAAAAGAAAACGGAGGACCACCUUCUUCCUGAGCAGCAGGGAUGUGGAUGGUGUGGAGUGAAAACAACAAGGCACUGGGCAUCUUCCUCACGGGGAUCCAAACAAAACGAUCUUCUCCACCGCCAAUCGACUAGAUGAAGAACGACGGCUUGGAUAUGUACUGAUCAUGCCUGGUUUGUUUUUGCUGUUUCUCGUCCUUUCCGGGCUCAUGUUUGCCCUUCGAUAUUAUCCCCAGGCUUCUUCUUUUCUUCUCGAAAAGAAAAAAACGAUCUUUAUUGUCU
rnacentral:lncRNA from 1 species